UACGGAGGGUGCAAGCGUUAUCCGGAUUCACUGGGUUUAAAGGGUGCGUAGGUGGCUUUGUAAGUCAGUUGUGAAAGCCUGGAGCUCAACUCCAGAACUGCCAUUGAUACUGCUUAGCUUGAAUCACGUCGAGGUGGAUGGAAUAAUACAUGUAGCGGUGAAAUGCUUAGAUAUGUAUUAGAACACCGAUUGCGAAGGCAGUUCACUAGGCGUGUAUUGACACUGAGGCACGAAAGCGUGGGGAUCAAGCAGG
rnacentral:rRNA from 1 species